AAUGGACGAAAGUCUGAUCCAGCCAUGCCGCGUGCAGGAUGACAGCCUACGGGUUGUAAACUGCUUUUAUACAGGAAGAACACUCCGACGUGUCGGAGCUUGACGGUACUGUAAGAAUAAGGAUCGGCUAACUCCGUGCCAGCAGCCGCGGUAAUACGGAGGAUCCAAGCGUUAUCCGGAAUCAUUGGGUUUAAAGGGUCCGCAGGCUGUUUUUUAAGUCAGAGGUGAAAUCCUGCAGCUCAACUGUAGAAUUGCCUUUGAUACUGGAAAACUUGAGUUAUUGUGAAGUGGUUAGAAUGUGUGGUGUAGCGGUGAAAUGCAUAGAUAUCACACAGAAUACCGAUUGCGAAGGCAGAUCACUAACAAUAUACUGACGCUCAUGGACGAAAGCGUGGGGAGCGAACAGGAUU
rnacentral:rRNA from 1 species